GACGUAGGGCGCGAGCGUUGUCCGGAUUUAUUGGGCGUAAAGAGCUCGUCGGCGGCUUGUCGCGUCGUCCGUGAAAACCUGCGGCUCAACUGCAGGCUGGCGGUCGAUACGGGCAGGCUGGAGUUCGGUAGGGGAGACUGGAAUUCCUGGUGUAGCGGUGAAAUGCGCAGAUAUCAGGAGGAACACCGGUGGCGAAGGCGGGUCUCUGGGCCGAUACUGACGCUGAGGAGCGAAAGCGUGGGGAGCGAACAGG
rnacentral:rRNA from 1 species